rnacentral:rRNA from 1 species
UAGGGAAUCUUCGGCAAUGGGGGCAACCCUGACCGAGCAACGCCGCGUGAGUGAAGAAGGUUUUCGGAUCGUAAAGCUCUGUUGUAAGAGAAGAACGUGUGUGAGAGUGGAAAGCUCACACAGUGACGGUAACUUACCAGAAAGGGACGGCUAACUACGUGCCAA